UACAGAGGUCUCAAGCGUUGUUCGGAUUCAUUGGGCGUAAAGGGUGCGUAGGCGGCGCGGUAAGUCGGGUGUGAAAUCUUGGAGCUUAACUCCGAAACUGCAUUUGAUACUGUGGUGCUUGAGGACUGGAGAGGAGACUGGAAUUUACGGUGUAGCAGUGAAAUGCGUAGAGAUCGUAAGGAAGACCAGUGGCGAAGGCGGGUCUCUGGACAGUUCCUGACACUGAGGCACGAAGGCCAGGGGAGCAAACGGG
rnacentral:rRNA from 1 species